GACGAACGCUGGCGGCGUGCUUAACACAUGCAAGUCGAGCGGUAAGGCUCCUUCGGGAGUACACGAGCGGCGAACGGGUGAGUAACACGUGAGCAAUCUGCCCAUCACAUCGGGAUACCCUCGGGAAACCGAAGCUAAUACCGAAUACAACCACUUCAGGCAUCUGACGGGGGUGGAAAGUUCCGGCGGUGAUGGAUGGGCUCGCGGCCGAUCAGCUUGUUGGUGGGGUAAUGGCCCACCAAGGCUUCGACGGGUAGCCGGCCUGAGAGGGUGACCGGCCACACUGGGACUGAGACACGGCCCAGACUCCUACGGGAGGCAGCGGUGGGGAAUAUUGGACAAUGGGCGAAGGCCUGAUCCAGCAACGCCGCGUGAGGGAUGACGGCCUUCGGGUUGUAAACCUCUUUCAGCGCCGACGAAGCGAAAGUGACGGUAGGCGCAGAAGAAGCACCGGCCAACUACGUGCCAGCCGCCGCGGUAA
rnacentral:rRNA from 1 species